UACGUAGGGUGCAAGCGUUCAUCGGAAUUACUGGGCGUAAAGCGUGCGCAGGCGGUUUUGUAAGUCUGACGUGAAAUCCCCGGGCUCAACCUGGGAAUUGCGUUGGAGACUGCAAGGCUGGAGUCUGGCAGAGGGGGGUAGAAUUCCACGUGUAGCAGUGAAAUGCGUAGAGAUGUGGAGGAACACCGAUGGCGAAGGCAGCCCCCUGGGUCAAGAUUGACGCUCAUGCACGAAAGCGUGGGGAGCAAACAGG
rnacentral:rRNA from 1 species